rnacentral:rRNA from 1 species
GACGAACGCUGGCGGCGUGCCUAAUACAUGCAAGUAGAACGCACAGUUUAUACGGUAGCUUGCUACACAAUAGACUGUAAGUUGCGAAUGAGUGAGUAACGCGUAGGUAACCUGCCUGGUAGAGGGGGAUAACUAUUGGAAACGAUAGCUAUAACCGCGUAAUAUUGAUUAUUGCAUGAUAAUUAAUUGAAAGGUGCAAUUGCACCACUAACAGAUGGACCUGCGUUGUAUUAGCUAGUAGGUGAGGUAACGGCUCACCUAGGCGACGAUACAUAGCCGACCUGAGAGGGUGAUCGGCCACACUGGGACUGAGACACGGCCCAGACUCCUACGGGAGGCAGCAGUAGGGAAUCUUCGGCAAUGGACGAAAGUCUGACCGAGCAACGCCGCGUGAGUGAAGAAGGUUUUCGGAUCGUAAAGCUCUGUUGUAAGAGAAGAACGGGUGUGAGAGUGGAAAGUUCACACUGUGACGGUAGCUUACCAGAAAGGGACGGCUAACUACGUG